rnacentral:rRNA from 2 species
GCGAGUGAAGCGGCAAAAGCUCAAAUUUGAAAUCUGGUACUUUCAGUGCCCGAGUUGUAAUUUGGAGAAGGCAACUUUGGGGCUGGUCCUUGUCUAUGUUCCUUGGAACAGGACGUCAUAGAGGGUGAGAAUCCCGUAUGGCGAGGAACCCAGUCCUUUGUAAAGUGCUUUCGAAGAGUCGAGUUGUUUGGGAAUGCAGCUCUAAGUGGGUGGUAAAUUCCAUCUAAAGCUAAAUAUUGGCGAGAGACCGAUAGCGAACAAGUACAGUGAUGGAAAGAUGAAAAGAACUUUGAAAAGAGAGUGAAAAAGUACGUGAAAUUGUUGAAAGGGAAGGGCAUUUGAUCAGACAUGGUGUUUUGCGCCCCUUACCUCUCGUGGGUGAGGGAAUCUCGCAGCUCACUGGGCCAACAUCAGUUUUGGUGGCAGGAUAAAUCUAUAGGAAUGUAGCUUGCUUCGGGAAGUGUUAUAGCCUGUGGGAAUACUGCCAACUGGGACUGAGGACUGCGACUUUGUCAAGGAUGUUGGCAUAAUGGUUAUAUGCCGCCC